ensembl:misc_RNA 7SK 7SK RNA
GGAUGUGAGGGCAAUCUGGCUGCAACAUCUGUCACCCCAUUGAUCACCAGGGUUGAUUCGGCUGAUCUGGCUGGCUAGGUGGCUGUCCCCUUCUUCCCUCACCGCUCCAUGUGCAUCCCUCCCGAAGCUGUGCGCUUGGUCGAAGAGGAUGCCCUUCCCCUAAUAGAGAUGGACUAGUCUUUGGUUGAGGGUAUACAAGUAGCUGUGCUCCCCUGCCAGAACCUCCAAACAAGCUCUCAAGAAUAGGAAAGCUUCAGUAAUUGCUUCACCGCUGAACAUGGGCAUUGACUGGUUGAUCCAUACUCCCAGUCUGCCUCUCUCU